UUCUUCAGUGCUGUUGAAACUGUUCUCAGCGGAAAACCACUUGUCAGACGGCCAGCUCACAUACUAAACUCAUCUGCCUGUUCACUCCAAAAGUUCCCCUGCUCUUGUGCAGUCAGCCAGGUUUGGACCAAUGGGAGAGCGAAAAGCUUCUGCCUGUGCGCGUGUAUUUGCAACUGAAAAGCUUCCGACAGUGCGCGAGACACUUGUUGAUGACGGAGGCGGAGAGAGGAGAGGCAUUCCAGGCACACAACUAGGUGCACAGAGUUCAGUGCAUGGUUGGUGACACAAGGAGAGGGCGCCAGGCCAAGCUCCAAUUGCCCAGUCGGCUGAACUAGCCUACGCUGCGGAUGAACAAGUGGAGUGACCAUGGAAAGUGAGCUCACGGAGGUUCAGGAUCAAUGCAUGUUACCCACCAACCAAACCAGCUCCACUUCACCAGUAUCCUGAUUCUCUCAACCCUCCACCUCGCCUGCCUGCUCCUGUUUAUUCCCCUGCCUGCUGGUUAGUCAUCCCGCCCUGCCUUUAUUCCACAUUCUGCUCUGUCCUGCCAGCCACCAGCUCCCCUCUGCAUUUGCCUGCCAGAACCCUCAUUACCCAUCCACCUUCAUUCCCUGAGAUUGAACAAUUAACUUUAAUUUGUUCAUUCGCGCUCUGAGUCGGUGUCCUGCGUUUGGGUUCACCUGUUGAUCAUAACACAGACUUAAACCCCAUUGACCAUCUGUGGAGAGACCUGGAGAUGUCAGUUCACAGACACUUACCAUCCAAUCUGUUGGAGCUUGAGAGGAUCUUUGUGCGCAUGCGUGUGAAUUGGGAGAGUGAGGACAUUUUGGCUAGUCCUCACUACUUCAAAAGGCGGUUUAUGUAGGUUAAGACUUGGUUUUAAAGUUAUGGUUAGAAUUAGGGUUAAGUUUAGAGUAAGGGGUUGUGGGGUUAGGCAUUUAGGUGAAUGUUGAAGAAACCACCUCUAAGGUCAAACUACCUUCCAUCUGUACAUGGAUGAAGCUUACCAAAAAUAAAA